UUCCUUGUGAUGCUUCUGUGGUGACCUUGU
rnacentral:piRNA from 1 species